GGACCCGUAGCUCAGCUGGUAGAGCUUUGUACUUAUGGGCAGCAUUAAACCUUAGCUAUGCAAGGGUCGCGAGUUCAAUCCUCGCCGGGUCCA
rfam:Sistotremastrum suecicum HHB10207 ss-3 unplaced genomic scaffold SISSTscaffold_135, whole genome shotgun sequence.